rnacentral:rRNA from 1 species
AUGGAUUUCGAACUCCGUGUUAUCGAAGCUAUCACAAACAACUUUGCAGAUGAUCAGAUAGUUGGCAGCGGUGGAUACGGAGUUGUUUACAGGGCGACCCAUGAAGGGGAAGAAAUUGCCGUGAAGAAGCUUCGUCAACUGCCAGGACUCGAUGAUAAGCAAUUCGACAGCGAGUUCCGCAACCUUCGUAACAUUCGCCACCAAAAUGUUGUGCGGCUAAUUGGCUACUGCUACGAGUCUCGGCAUAGAUACAUGGAUCACAACGGGGACCUUGUUUUCGCUCAACUAAUGGAGCGAGUGCUCUGCUUCGAAUAUAUGCACGGCGGAAGCCUCGAUGAACAUAUUCAAGGUAACCUAGUCCUAGUGUGGAUAUAA